AGUCGAGGGGCAGCAUAAUGGAUAGCAAUAUCUAUGGUGGCGACCGGCGCACGGGUGCGUAACGCGUAUGCAACCUACCUUUAACAGGGGGAUAACACUGAGAAAUUGGUACUAAUACCCCAUAAUAUCAUAGAAGGCAUCUUUUAUGGUUGAAAAUUCCGAUGGUUAGAGAUGGGCAUGCGUUGUAUUAGCUAGUUGGUGGGGUAACGGCUCACCAAGGCGACGAUACAUAGGGGGACUGAGAGGUUAACCCCCCACACUGGUACUGAGACACGGACCAGACUCCUACGGGAGGCAGCAGUGAGGAAUAUUGGUCAAUGGACGCAAGUCUGAACCAGCCAUGCCGCGUGCAGGAUGACGGCUCUAUGAGUUGUAAACUGCUUUUGUACGAGGGUAAACGCAGAUACGUGUAUCUGUCUGAAAGUAUCGUACGAAUAAGGAUCGGCUAACUCCGUGCCAGCAGCCGCGGUAAUACGGAGGAUUCAAGCGUUAUCCGGAUUUAUUGGGUUUAAAGGGUGCGUAGGCGGUUUGAUAAGUUAGAGGUGAAAUUUCGGGGCUCAACCCUGAACGUGCCUCUAAUACUGUUGAGCUAGAGAGUAGUUGCGGUAGGCGGAAUGUAUGGUGUAGCGGUGAAAUGCUUAGAGAUCAUACAGAACACCGAUUGCGAAGGCAGCUUACCAAACUAUAUCUGACGUUGAGGCACGAAAGCGUGGGGAGCAAACAGGAUUAGAUACCCUGGUAGUCCACGCAGUAAACGAUGAUAACUCGUUGUCGGCGAUACACAGUCGGUGACUAAGCGAAAGCGAUAAGUUAUCCACCUGGGGAGUACGUUCGCAAGAAUGAAACUCAAAGGAAUUGACGGGGGCCCGCACAAGCGGAGGA
rnacentral:rRNA from 1 species